ACUCCGCGGCAAGCUUUCCAUAUUUCAAAAUUCGAAUGUUCAAUGGUCGGAUUUGAAAUGUUCAGAUAUCGAGAAAUACAACAACGGUGGAUAUUCAACUGAAGUUUACUCGUCAGGACGGAAAGCUCGUGUACGGUGCGCAAAGACGCGGGCCGUAAGUCACGCAAUUCCUCCCGUUUCGUAUUUUCAGUUCAUUUUUAGAGCAGAGCAGAGAAAUGGGCCAUGAGAAUCAAUAUCAUCAUCAUGCGGCGGUAGAUGAUCUGCAGAAUCUGUUAACGAAAGCGAAUAACGAUCUGUCCGUCGUUCAACACCGCCUCGAGAAAGAAUUCCAGAACACCUACCCCGAUAAUGUAAACCCAUCAAAGCUUGUUUCUCGUAUAAAGAAAAUUCAGGAUGACCUCUCGUCGUUGAAAGAGCAAUGCCGCGAGCUCCUUGCUGCAAAGCAGGAUUUGAUUGACGAGGCCAGGACAACUCUGGUUGGGAACAGAAGUUUAUUGCAACGCAUGCAAGCAUCUUCCGGUCUCCCCAUCACUAGCGACUCUGUUGACUUGGCGUACACAAAUUUAAACCAGGUCAUUGAUGAGUGGACAGUUCAAAUAAGGCCAAAGACAGGGGAUGAGGAGCAUUUUUCAGACUCGGAAGAUAUCAAUCAGUUGCUCUUCUCAGCAAUAGUUCAAAACAGCUAAAGAAAAAAGAGGAACGAUGAUGAAUGGAAGUGAUCUUGUCGGGCUUCCUGUUUUCAACUGCCUUUUAAAACUGGCCCAAUAUCCAAGCUGUCCAUCCAAAGGGAAUCACUAUGUGGAUUUCCUAGCUCAAGAAUGAGGUUAGUCUACUG